ensembl:lncRNA
GCUUGCCCUCGGGGCCCUGGUUCUGCGGGCCCCUUCGGUCUGAAUGUGCAUCCACCAAAGACUUUUGCAAGAGUUUCCUCAAGUGAACACUUUAGGUGGGACGCCUGCCACAGGAUGGCUUGCCAAGCAGUUCUCAGUCAUCUGCAGCAAGGACUCCGGGGUCACUGCCCAGGUCUGGACACUGGUGUUGAAAACCCCUCAGGACACAGGAGACAGGGAUCACGUGCUUGAUCCUCCCGCCCCUUUUCUGUGUUGCUGUGACCAAAGAGUCAGGAUCCCAUCCUCUCCUCUCCAAAUGCCAAGAAGCCCCCGGGGAAGGACCACAAGGGGCCAUGUCAGGCUCUGAAACUGGGCUAGUGAUGGCCACCCAUGGUCUUAUUUUCAAGUAAAACUCCAGAUUUUGACAAAGGUAAUGACAUCGGACCAUUGUGCUUUCAUGUGAUGUGACUCUUGGCAGAUAGAGGAUGGGUUCUUCAGAAGGGAAUGACUAUCCCACUGUCGGCGUGCCAGGAGGGCCAGUGCUGCCAUGGGAAUGGAGACUGGUGCUGUGGGAGGUGGGAGGGGUGUUCCUCUCUCUGGGCAUUGCCACCUGGCCUUCAAGGACUGUGACAAACUGCGGCUCUCCUGUCACCAGGGUGAGCAGGCUCUGGCUGCACAGCCACAACCAAGGAUGGAGGAGUCGCCACCAGCCAAAGCUCCAGGUUAACUCUCGGGUUAAGCUCCUUUGCCCUCCAGCACCUCCAGCACAGCAUUGUCGAAGCUUUCUCUCUGGCAGGGCUCCGGCAAAGGGGAGCUAAGGUCCUGCUCCUCUGGCAAAUGGGCACCCGGGGCCAACGUCAGCGGUGCCUGGAUGUAGCUGUGACCCCAUUAUACUCUCAGUCCGGUCCAGCUGAGGGAUCCUGGUCACACCUAGAAGAAUCAAAGGUAUACAGGUGGCCUGUAGACUGUUAGACGCUAGCCUGGGUUGAGCGCAGUCUAGCCAGGCGGCCGUGCAGUGAUCAUGCAGACAGAAGGUGACCUUUCAGGACUGCCCCUGACACCUGCAGGGCCCAGGCUCAUUUCCAGGGCCUCCAUCAGGUGUCACCCGCUUGCCCAGAUUCUUCUCUCAAAUGAAGCAAAGACCUUAGGCCGAGGAGGGAAUUGAUUUAAGACCCACUAACAGAGGUUUGAAAACUUCUCAAAUAAGAUGAUGAGGGGGAGAGUGCACAAUUUAGCCCAGCGAGUGGAGCACACAGCAGCCUGGCAACAGCCUCCCGGUUCUGUAGGUAAAGAGCCGCCCCGAGGAGCGUGGUCAUGGGCUUUCUCCCUUCACGUGGACAGAAAAGGAACAGAUGAGUGCAGAGUGCCAUGCGGCUGAGGGACAGUGGCUGGAAGGGAACAGGAGGACUUCCCAAGGCUGGAGGUCUUGAAAAACAGGCUCAGUCUCUUUGAUCCAUGAUGAGUCAAGUGUGGAGAGGGAGGAAAGGGGAGAAUCCCUAUUCCUUCUGGAACUCUGAGGGGCCUCCAUGAUGUUCACCUGGGCAGUAGGGAGCACAGCUCCUUGGGAUCCAAUUCAACCCCAACGUUAACUGGACAUCUAUGAUGUGCGAGGCACCAGGCUGGUCUGGGAGAUAGUCGACUGCUGAGCUGCUGACCUACUGUGGGCAGAUGAAGGACUGAAGAGCCAGAGCACUGAGGAGACUGGGCCCAAUUGUCUUGAGCAGCCCACCCCUCCCCAGCCCUGUGUCUGUGUUUGGGUUCAUUUGGACAGUCGUGAUGGUCGGGUGAUGGGCAUGCCCAUCCACACUCCCCCUCAGGGCACUUUUGUGUAGCCUUAGGAACAAAAAUAAAGAUCUUGUUUUAUAUACCUUGCCUAGACAAGGUCUGGGAUGUGUGGUUAGAAAAUAUUUUUGUUUUUAUGGAAUUGCUAAACCCCUGGAGUGCCAGAGGAGGCCACAUGGAGUGUGGCUCCUGCGGCCUGUUUUCUUCUGCGUGGGAAGUGAGUCUGGACAUAAACGGUGACGCUUAACCCUGCAUCCUGGAAGUUCUAGGUUUAGAUAAAAUGUUUCCGAAUUACCCAGUGAGUGAGGAAGACCACACGAUCUUUAAAUUCCCUCCCAGCUCUCACAUCCUGUGACUAAUCAGCAGCUGUCCUAACUUAAAUCAGACAAAAACUAGUGGGUC